CUUACUUUAAAUUCUUCUUUAAAUACACUGAUGUUUAACUUUGAACUUUCCAAAGCAUCCCUACUAUCCUACCUUUGCUUCUGAGGAGCACGCCACAGGCUGUAUGUAAUCAGAGUGAAUGUAAAUGCUUUUCCAUGGAACAUCCCCUGUGAGAUUUUUGCCCCUCAGCCUCAUUUUUGUGGAUGUGACCCCCGGUGUUUUCUCGCUCCUUCUCCACAACCCAUGCAAGGACAACAUCGUGAUUCUCCUCCUCAGCGCCAAAGUAUCACCAAAACCAAUCAGUCAGCAUUCUUUAAGAAAAGAGGAUCUUUUUCUUUUGGUCUGUCUUAUCCUGUGAUCUUGGCGUAGAGUUUGUAGAGUUGUUUGUGAGGAAAUUAGAAGGUUUUCAACGUUGAAGUUGGAGCAUAUUCUGAGUGUUUGUAAGCUGAGAACUUUGGAUUUGGUGGCUGUCCUCCUGCAGGCACAUGGUGAUGACCAGCCAAGUUAUUCUGCGGGGUGACGGGUCAUCACUUCCACUGCCCACUCACUCUGGCUGGGACCAGGCCAUGAAGGAUUGUGGAUUCUCAGAGAAAGGCAGUCUGUGAGGUGGGCGUCCCGAGUGCGAGCACAUUGAGAAGGAGCUGUUUGUGACCCACAUUCAUAUGACCCAACCCUGUGGGGCCUCAGGAGAGCUUCAG